AUGGAACUCUCCUGGUCCUCCUCGCUGCUUCUUCUCAUCCCUCUCCUACCUCUUGUUUACUUUCUCUACUUGCGUCAGGACCCCAAGAAGCAGCCUCACGCCCAUGGGCUCAAGGUCUACCCCAUUCUCGGCACGCUGCCACACCUCGUGAAGAACAAAGACCACUUCCUCGAGUGGUACACCGGCGUCAUGCAGAGCAGCCCCACACAUACCAUGGUCUUCAAGGUGAUCGGUCUCACCGGCCAAGCCAUCACGGCCGACCCGGCAAACGUGGAGCACAUACUCAAGACUAACUUUGGGAAUUACCCCAAAGGCGAGCUUACCGUCUCCAUGUUCGAGGACUUCCUUGGCCACGGCAUCUUCAACUCUGAUGGCGACGAGUGGCUGUGGCAGCGCAAGGCAGCUAGCUACGAGUUCAACAAGCGCUCGCUUAGGAACUUCAUGGUGGAUGUCGUCCGUUUCGAGGCAGUCGAGCGGCUGGUGCCGCUGCUGCAGCGAGCGGCGCGCGACGCCCAGACCCUCGACGUUCAGGACGUGCUGGAGCGCUUUGCAUUCGACAACAUCUGCGGCGUGGCCUUCGGCGAAGACCCAGGCUGCCUGGCCGUCGCCGACGAGGGCAUGGCCGCGCCCCAGAGCGCGGAGUUCAUGUCCGCGUUCAACGACGCGCAGAACACGAUCGUGGCCCGGGUCAUGUCGCCUAUCAAGUGGAAGUGGCUGUGGCGCGUGAAGAGGUUGCUCGACAUAGAGCCGGAGAGGCGGAUGCGCUUGGCGCUUGCGACGAUCCACGGCUACGCUGACAAGAUCGUUCGUGAGCGUAGGGAGAGUGGAGAGGAUGGGCUGGCGCGGAGGGACGACUCUCUUCUGUCGCGCUUCGCUGCGGCUGGUGAGCACAGCGAUAAGAGCCUCCGCGACGUGGUCACCAACUUCAUCCUUGCCGGCCGCGACACGACAUCGUCGGCGCUAACCUGGUUCUUCUGGUUAGUGUCCACGCGGCCCGACGUGGAGGACAAGAUCAUGAGCGAGAUCGGCGCGGCCGGCCCUGUCCGCGCGGUGCGCGUGUCAGGAGUAGGCGCAUCCACUUUCAGCUUGGACGAGCUGCGCGAAAUGCACUACCUCCACUCGGCCAUCACCGAGUCCAUGCGGCUGUACUUGCCGGUGGCUGCCGACGUGCACAGCUGCAAGGAGGACGAUGUCCUUCCGGACGGCACAUUCAUCGGCAAAGGGUGGCUGAUGACAUACUGCGCUUUCGCGAUGGCGUGGUUGGAGAGCAUCUGGGGCGAGGACUGCCAGGAGUUCAGGCCGGAGAGGUGGCUCGACGGAGAGGGCGUGUUCCGGCCGGCAAGCUCGUUCAUGUACCCUGUCUUCCACGCGGGGCCGAGGAUGUGCCUCGGAAAAGAGAUGGCCUACAUCCAGAUGAAGUACAUCGUGGCGUGCGUGUUGGAGAGGUUCAGCCUCCGGUACGUCGGAGGCGAGGGGCAUCCAAAGCUCGAAAUGUCAAUGACGCUGCGGAUGGGACGCGGCUUGCCAAUGCAGGUGAAGAACAAGGGAGGCUAG
rnacentral:rRNA from 1 species